CUAACCUCAGAACAGAUAUUUAAAAAAUGCAGGGUGAGAGAGAAGCUGACAAUGCUGAAGUUAGACAGCAUAGGCCUGACAUCCCCAGAGUUAGGCUGGAUAUAGAAACCCUGAAUGAGCAGCAGGUGGUUGAAAGACAGGCUGGAAAGCCAGGGCUAUUCAAGCAGGACUGUCCCUGGAAUGACCAAACUACUAGGGGCACUUAAUUUUUUGGCUUCUGGAUCCUUUCAGGUGACAGGGGGCAUUGUAACUGGGGUCCACUUUUUCUAAGCAUCUUUCACAAGUUCUUGAUGGACUUUAUGAUAAUUGCAGAAAAUAUAUUUUUCCCCCACAUCACCAAGAGGUUGGCGUGAUGUUAAGAGGGACGUUUUUCUUUUAGGUGGCAUACUGGCCUAAGACCCCCUGUGCGCAGGGAGAUAAUAUUUAGGAAUUGCAAACACUUCCACUCCUUAAAUGUGCAGAAUAUAUGCAAUGCAAACAUGCAUAUAUUAAAUGUCGUAUCAGGGUUCCCAGGAAGUAGCCAUGAUGCCUACAUCCUCAGGAAUUCUGGUGUGUGGAAAUUGUUUGAGACAAAUCAAAUGCCUGAAGGACAUCUCCUCGCUGAUUCUGCAUAUCCUCUUAAAAAAUGGAUUUGGACACCAUUGAAUUAGAACCAGGUUGUUGGGCCUGCUGAAUUAAGAUAUAAUGAAGCACAUAUCAGAACACGGGCUAUAAUAGAAAGACUGUUUGGUCUUCUAAAAAUGCGCUUUCGCUGCCUGGACAGAUCAGGGGGGAUCUCCAAUACAGUCCUGAAAAAGCGAUAAAAAUCAUAGUAGCAUGUUGCUGUCUACAUAACAUGGCACAGGAGCAUGGGAUGUUGAACGAUUUACUUCUACCAACACAGCCCCCAGGUGAAAUCUUUGAGCCUGAUGUAAUUAAUCAUCCCCAACCACUCAAUGUCCAUUUGGAGAGAACUACAACUAUUCAAGAUUUCUUUUCAGAUUGAAGAUUGUUAGUUACAGAUCCUCAGAAAUGGAAUACCACUCCCCUUCCUCUCGCCUCAUCCCAAUAUUUACCAAAUUUUCCCUAAAUAAAUGUGUACUUAUAGUCAA